AUCUAGCUGACGAGUCCCAGAUAGGACGAAACGCGAGUCGUGGAU
rfam:Schistosoma mansoni strain Puerto Rico chromosome 4, complete genome